rnacentral:rRNA from 1 species
UCAAUAAGCGGAGGAAAAGAAACUAACAAGGAUUCCCCUAGUAACGGCGAGUGAAGCGGGAAGAGCUCAAAUUUAAAAUCUGGCAGUGUAUUCUGUCCGAGUUGUAGUCUAGAGAAGCAUCAUCCGUGCUGGACCAUGUACAAGUCUCUUGGAACAGAGCGUCAUAGAGGGUGAGAAUCCCGUCCUUGACAUGGACUCCCAGUGCUUUGUGUUGUGCUCUCAACGAGUCGAGUUGUUUGGGAAUGCAGCUCAAAAUGGGUGGUAAAUUCCAUCUAAAGCUAAAUAUUGGCGAGAGACCGAUAGCGAACAAGUACCGUGAGGGAAAGAUGAAAAGCACUUUGGAGAGAGAGUUAAACAGUACGUGAAAUUGUUGAAAUGGAAACGCUUGAAGUCAGUCGCGUUCUCUGGGAUUCAGCCUUGCUUCUGCUUGGUGCAUUUCCUAGUCUACGGGCCAGCAUGAGUUUUGACCGGUGGAAAAAGAUCUGGGGAAUGUGGCACCUUCGGGUGUGUUAUAGCCCCUUGUCACAUACACCGGUUGGGAUUGAGGUCUUAGUGCACGCUUCGGUUGUGCUUUGAUGCUGGCGUAAUGGCUUUAAACGACCCGUCUUGAAACACGGACCAAGGAGUCUAACAUGUCUGCAAGUGUUUGGGUGCAAAACCCGAGCGCGUAAUGAAAGUGAUAGUUGGGAACCUCUUCAGAGGGGCACCGACGCCCGGACCAGACCUUCUGUGACGGAUCCGAGGUAGAGCAUAUAUGUUGGGACCCGAAAGAUGGUGAACUAUGCCUGCAUAGGGUGAAGCCAGAGGAAACUCUGGUGGAGGCUCGUAGCGAUUCUGACGUGC